AAGCGCGAGUCAUCAGCUCGCGUUGACUACGUCCCUGCCCUUUGUACACACCGCCCGUCGCUCCUACCGAUUGAAUGGUCCGGUGAAGGGCUCGGAUCGCGGCGACGGGGGCGGUUCGCCGCCCCCGACGUCGCGAGAAGUCCAUUGAACCUUAUCAUUUAGAGGAAGGAGAAGUCGUAACAAGGUUUCCGUAGGUGAACCUGCGGAAGGAUCAUUG
rnacentral:ncRNA from 1 species